rnacentral:rRNA from 1 species
CCUACGGGAGGCAGCAGUGGGGAAUUUUGGACAAUGGGCGCAAGCCUGAUCCAGCAAUGCCGCGUGAGUGAAGAAGGCCUUCGGGUUGUAAAGCUCUUUUGUCAGGGAAGAAACGGCUGAGGCGAAUACCUUUGGCUAAUGACGGUACCUGAAGAAUAAGCACCGGCUAACUACGUGCCAGCAGCCGCGGUAAUACGUAGGGUGCAAGCGUUAAUCGGAAUUACUGGGCGUAAAGCGUGCGCAGGCGGUUUUGUAAGUCUGACGUGAAAUCCCCGGGCUCAACCUGGGAAUUGCGUUGGAGACUGCAAGGCUGGAGUCUGGCAGAGGGGGGUAGAAUUCCACGUGUAGCAGUGAAAUGCGUAGAGAUGUGGAGGAACACCGAUGGCGAAGGCAGCCCCCUGGGUCAAGACUGACGCUCAUGCACGAAAGCGUGGGGAGCAAACAGGAUUAGAUACCCUGGUAGUCCACGCCCUAAACGAUGUCUACUAGUUGUCGGGUCUUAAUUGACUUGGUAACGCAGCUAACGCGUGAAGUAGACCGCCUGGGGAGUAACGGUCGCAAGNUUAAAACUUCAAAUGAAUUGACGG